rnacentral:rRNA from 1 species
UACAGAGGGUGCAAGCGUUAAUCGGAAUUACUGGGCGUAAAGCGUGCGUAGACGGUUGCGUAAGUCAGAUGUGAAAGCCCCGGGCUCAACCUGGGAAUUGCAUUUGAGACUGCAUAGCUAGGGUGCGGAAGAGGGAAGCGGAAUUUCCGGUGUAGCGGUGAAAUGCGUAGAUAUCGGAAGGAACACCAGUGGCGAAAGCGGCUUCCUGGUCCAGCACCGACGUUCAGGCACGAAAGCGUGGGGAGCAAACAGG